UAUACCCUACUGUAUGUAAGGUGUCUAGACCUGACAUUUACCUCUGUGAAGCUUUAUUAGCCAAUAGAAAUGAAAACCCUAAUGGAUCCCCAUUUAGGUGGCAUAGAUCAGGGGUUCCCACCUCCUGGGCCAUGGACUGGUAUCAGUCUAUGGCCUGUUAGGAACUGGGCUGCACAGCAGGAGGUGAGCGGUGGGUGAGCGAGUGAAGCUUCAUUUGUAUUUACAGCUGCUCCCCAUGGCUCACAUUACCACCUGAGCUCCGUCUACUGUCACAGCAGCAGCGGGAUUAGAUUCUCAUAGGGCAUGAACCCUAUUGUGAACUGAACAUGUGAGGUAUCUAGGUUGUGCACUUCUUAUGAGAAUCUAAUGCCUGAUGAUCUGAGGUGGAGCUGAGGUGGUAAUGCUAAUGUGGGGGAGUGGCUGCAAAUACAGAUUAACAUUAGCAGGGAGGUCUGACUGCACAGAGACCAUAAUAAGUCGCAGACUCAUAUCAAAACCCUAUCAGUGAGUGGCAAGUGACAAUUAAGCCGUGGCUGGCAGUAGGCUUUAUAGUGGCAAGUGAAUUGAUGUACUUCAAUUGUACAGCUACAUCUGGUGGCAGGCUGUCAGAAUCUGACACUUAACUUUAGUCUGAGCAUGGCCUGCCCAUUAUUUUAUUUACCACUUCCAUCCGUGCCUCUUUCCCAUGCUAUGCACUUGUCUCAGUCAUAGUUUUGGUAAGCCCACAAGCUAACCCUAGCCAAAAUGAGUAAAAAACAAAUGUCACUGGAGAGCUUCUUUGUCAAGGGGGACAGACUGAAUGAUGAGACAUCAGAAGACAUUAAGACUUCCAUCAAAAACAAAGCUGCAUUUAAAAGAAAAUACCAAGAGUCCUACUUAAAUUACAGGCUCAUUGCAACAAGUGAUUAACAUUCUACAAGCCCACUUUGUAUAACAUGUGGCAACCGGCUAUCCAACAAAGCCAUGAAACCUUCAAAACUGCUUCUCCACAUGGAAACCUAGCACCUUGCAUUAAAACACAAGGCUUUUGAGUUUUUCAAAUGAACACAAAGAACAGAAGCAACUGGCCAGGCAUGGUGGCUCACACCUGUAAUCCCAGCACUUUGGGAGGCUGAGGUGGGUGGAUUGCUUGAGGCCAAGAGUUUGAGACCAGCCUGGUCAAUAUGGUGAAACUCCGUCUCUACUGAAAAUACAAAAAUUAGCUGGGUGUGGUGGUGCCCGCCUGUAGUCCCAGCUACUUGGGAGGCUGAGGCAGGAGAAUCGCUUGAACCCGGGAGGUGGAGGUUGCAGUGAACCAAGAUCGUGCCAUUGCAUUCCAGCUUAGGCAAGACUCCGUCUCAAAAAAAAAAAAAAAAAAGCAAA
ensembl:lncRNA novel transcript